CUCGUAAAGCAAUAUACCCAUAGACGCCAUGAGCAGAUAUGGGCGACGUUGAGCAGCUGUCGGCAUAGUAGAGCUUGGACAAACUGCGUAAACUGGUAGGAUUCCUUACGGGACAUUACCAGUUUAACAAACAUCUACAUACGAUAGGGGUAGUAACAGACCCAAUCUGUCGUGGAUGCAAUGAAGAAGAGGAAACA